rnacentral:tRNA from 1 species
GGUAGUAUGGCUGAUUAAAGCGGCAAUUUGUAAAAUUGUGUAUAGGAUAUCCCUUGCUACCA